rnacentral:misc_RNA from 1 species
CUCGGACGGACCUGAGACCGCCAGAUUCAAAAUUUGAGCUUUUCCCUCUUCACUCGCAGUUACUAGGGGAAUCCUUGUUAGUUUCUUUUCCUCCGCUUAUUGAUAUGCUUAAGUUCAGCGGGUAGUCCUACCUGAUUUGAGGUCAAAAGUCAGAUNAGGAAGACCCUGUUCUCUCCGGAGAGAUAAUAAGCGGUCGACGUAUUAGAGGCRCGGRACSUUCAGUCAUGCGCUUCAGCGAACGGCGAUCAUUAUCACGCCGAAAGCCUUGUCGCACAUAGUCGAAAGUCGACCGCAAGCCGAUGCAUUUCAGAAGAGCCCGAGUCUCGGACGAAUCCRAGUUUCCGGCAACCUCCACUAUCCAAGCACCCUCUCAAAGCUAAUCGAGAGGGGUUGAGAAUUUACUGACACUCAAACAGGCAUGCUCCUCGGAACACCGAGGAGCGCAAGGUGCGUUCAAAGAUUCGAUGAUUCACUGUAGAUCUGCAAUUCACAUUACAUAUCGCUUUUCGCUGCGUUCUUCAUCGAUGCGAGAGCCAAGAGAUCCGUUGCUGAAAGUUGUAAUAACUUUUAUCUCAAAGAAUCGCGUCUCCUAGAAGUCGCGACUCGAUGAUAGUAAACAUUCAAGACUUUCUACACGA